UACGGGGGGGGGCAAGCGUUGUUCGGAAUCACUGGGCGUAAAGGGCGCGUAGGCGGCCGUUCAAGUCGGGGGUGAAAGCCUGUGGCUCAACCACAGAAUUGCCUUCGAUACUGGACGGCUCGAGACCGGAAGAGGUCAGUGGAACUGCGAGUGUAGAGGUGAAAUUCGUAGAUAUUCGCAAGAACACCAGUGGCGAAGGCGGACUGGCUGGUCCGGUUCUGGACGCCUGAGGCGACGAAAGCGGUGGGGAGCAAACAGG
rnacentral:rRNA from 1 species